GUUGAACGCUGGCGGCAUGCCUAACACAUGCAAGUCGAGCGAGCGGCGGACGGGUGAGUAAUGUAUGGGGACUGCCUGAUGGCGGGGGAUAACUACUGGAAACGGUAGCUAAUACCGCAUACCAUCCGCUAACCCAUAUGGGAUUAGCUAUUAGGUAAGGUAACGGCUUACCUAGGCGACGAUCCCUCGCUGGUCUGAGAGGAUGAUCGGCCACACUGGGACUGAGACACGGCCCAGACUCCUACGGAGGCAGCAGUGGGGAAUAUUGCACAAUGGGCGAAAGCCGGAUGCAGCAAGGCCGCGUGUAUGAAGAAGGCCUUCGGGUUGUAAAGUACUUUCAGUAGGGAGGCGGUACCGACAGAGGAAGCAACGGCUAACUCCGUGCCAGCAGCCGCGGUAAUAC
rnacentral:rRNA from 1 species